AUUUAGGGUUUAGGGUUUAGGGUUUAGAGUUUAGGGUUUAGAGUUUAGAGUUUAGGGUUUAGGGUUUAGGGUUUAGGGUUUAGAGUUUAGGGUUUAAGGUUUAAGGUUUAGGGUUUAGGGUUUAGAGUUGAGAAAUGAGGUUUUGGAGAUAAGAUUUCAAAUUUUAAAAAAUAAAAAAAUUAAAAUUUUCAAACGAUAAACUUAGAAAUGUGCUAUUUUGGUCAUUUUAAUUUUGGAAUGCUAUUUUGUGAUAUAAACUUAGAAAUGUGCUAUUUUGGAAAUUUGCCCUUGACAGAACUACUAUAGAAUUUUACAUACAUUUUUUUAUUAGUUAUGAUGUGACAUUUUAGUAACUUGAUGUUUAAGUCUUUUUUAACUGGACCAUUCAUUUAUAAAA
rnacentral:lncRNA from 1 species